rnacentral:lncRNA from 10 species
CAGAAGUGCAAAUCAUUUCCCAAAUGUGGCCUUGGGUUUUCAGGAGCCCAGUAGUGACUUCUGUGGUCCCUGACUUGCACCCUCACCCUAUUAUUGGAGUUGUGCUUCAUUUCUCUGUGUGGAAAGAGUGAAGUAUUGGGAAAUAUGACCCUGGUCACCAAACCAACUCAGAGACAGCAAGUGCUUUGGCAAAGGAAAGGGCUGGCACAGAGAACAGAGUCGAUUUCUCAUUGUCUUCACCAAUCUUCUGAACCCGUGAAUACUUUUUGCAUGAUGAUUUGAAGCAGCCAGGAGGCCAAGACAGCGGCCAGGAGAAGCAGCAAGGAAUUGAGCCUUGUACAUUUUUCUCAAAAAAAUAAAAGAUGGGGAACCACCAUGCUCGAGAUAAGAAAUUAGUCUGUGAAGAGACCUUCAAGUUCUGUAAAUGGUAGAAAAAAAUUUAAAUGAGACAUAUCUUUCUCAAUUUGCAUCCCAAUUAUUUUCUUAAAUUGUCAUUCACUGUAACCUAGGGAAAACAGAAUUCAGAAUCACAUGGCAGUAAUGAUUUUCAUGUCCUUUCCCUAACUCUACCAUGACUCCGCUCCCCUAACACACCUAGGUGUCUUUCUUUCCUUUGUGGCUCAUGCAAUUUCUUCUGCCUGCAAUUCCAGUAAGAAUGGAGACUCUGGGAAUGGAUUUCAGAAUUAUUCAGGAGGAAUAAUUUUCAGGAUGUGUGAGUGAUCAAAUCUAGGGGCCAAGCAAGUCAAAGAGUGAAAGAAGAGCUCAGAAGUUGAACACAUUUAAGAGGAAAGAUGAAAAUUUUGGUUCAGUGGUGUCAGUAGUCAACUAGAUGGAAGUGUAAGAAGGAAGAUGGAAAUGGGAGACUACAAAAUAGGAAACAGAGCUACAAAGAGAAAUAAAGUAAUCCAAAGAAAGAGCAUUUAUUAGUGGACACCAAGAGUUGGACGUAGAUCCUUUGGAAAUGUAAUAUUUCAAUUGCUCACAAAUUCUCCAAAUUGACAAUAUGGCAAGUCUAUUCAAAGAUAAGUAAGUCAUGGUACACAGACCAACUCUAUUACACCAAGGACACAUACCAAGACUAGGAGAAAAGAGAGACUGGGAGGAAUAAUUCUGCCUUCGGACCAGAGGAAGAGAGCAAGAGUUAGAGACAGCUUCCUGGAAGAGGUGGCAUUUGAGCUAGCUCUUUAAGUUUCAAUGGGAGAAGAAAGAAAAGGCAUCUGGAAACAAGGAAGCAGCAGUAGCAAAUGAGGAAGAAUCAGAAGGGAAGCCAGAGAGCACCAUUAUCACCAGAGGAUAUACCAAAUCCAGUCAUUCAUAAGCUAUUUAUUUUGUGUGAUUUUAAACAAUAGCUGCUAUCGGCUGGGCACGGUGGUUCACGCCUAUAAUCCUGGCACUUUGGGAGGCCGAGGUGGGAGGAUCACCUGAGGUCAGGAGUUCAAGGCCAGCCUGGCCAACAUGGUGAAACCCUGUCUCUACUAAAAAUACAAAAUAAAAAUUAGCCAGGCGUGGUGUCGUGCACCUGUAAUCCCAGCUAUUUGGGAGGCUGAGGCACAAGAAUCGCUUGAACUUGGAAGGUGGAGGUUGCAGUAAGCCAAGAUUGCACCACUGUACUCCAGCUUGGGCAAUAGAACAAGACUCUGUCUCAAAAAAAAAAAAAAUUAAAAAAAAUAGCUGUUACCUUCUCCUUAAAAUUAAUUUAAGUUGAAGGCAGGAUUAUGUCUUACCCAGCUGCACUACAAUGCUUUUACAGAGAAGGUUCCUAAAUUUUAAUUUAGUACAUAUAUUUUUUCAUUCUAGUUUAAGUUACCUGAAUUAGCAAUGCACUGUGCUCCAUAACUUUAUGGCAUUUUUAUCCAUAAAUGGCAUUUAUAUUUGUGAAGUUCUUUGCUUUAUUUUAAAAAGCAGUAAUGGAUAUAUGUUUAAGUGAAUGUGGCAACAUCGGUUAUCCCCAUUAGGCUAUCUAAAACCCCACGACAUGAAAAGGGUCCACUGCAUUCAAAGAAAAGAAAUUAUCCAAGCAUCUUCACUGCUCUCACCUUUUCAUUGGCCAUUGAAUGGUACCACCAAAACAGUCGUGUUGUGAUAUAAUAAGCAAUGAUCACAUCGAUAGUGUAGUGUUCGUGUGCUACAAGAAUGCAGAUGAUCCCGGCAGCACUCAGCAGCCAGCAGAUUAAAUGAUACCACCAGAAGUGACGAGGCGAAUCUGGACAGUAGAAAAAUUACAGAGUUAAUAAGAUUCCCAGAGAUGAAUGUAAUGAUUACAGUCUGUCCUAACGACCUUAAGUAGAAUAACCCAGGAUCAGGAAGUCACCAGAAGGAUAAAACUGAUAACCUAAACUGAGUCACUAUGAACUGCCCAGGAUCUGCUCAGGUAGGAGGGAGGCAGAGGGGCUCCCUGGCAGCGGGCGUAAUAGUCAUUCACUGGGGAAGCUGGUAACACUAGACAUUCUAGGCCUUACCCACGUGAAUAAGCUGUUUAGUAAGAAAGAACAGAAUUGUUUCUUAUUAGGUUUGCUGGAAUUGCUGCAUACUGGCUCACAUAAAGGAGCCACUUUCCCACUGGAAAGAAAGAUAGUAGGGAUCAAAAGAAAAGGUGGUGGUCUAUGAAAAUAAGGGGGGAAAUGGGAAAGCAGGAGUAAUUUCAGGUUUUAAAUUUAUAUUAUUUCUCCAGGGGUAUGUGUAGGGUAAGGGGGUCAGAAGGAAUGGCAUUGUGGCUAGCAAUAUUUUGAUUCUCAGCAAUUUUACACUGUUAUUGCCAAUAGAAACUAUAAAACAUUCCCUCUGUAAAGGUUAGGGUUCCUAACCAUUCACUUAUGGACUCAGCCUUCCUGGUAAAGCCACUUAAAAGUUCAUUCUACUUACUAGCUGUAAGAGACAACUGUGGCACUCACUGGUUUAAACAUGAUGGUCCUCCCCUUCUCACACAAGUGUUAAUGACAAAUAUAACUGAAACCAGAGUUCAUCUCUAGCAGCUUGGUGAUCUGUUUUAUUUUAAAGCUGUAUUAGCUCACAAUAAAAGUUAAUCCAAUAAACUGAAAUUGAUUUCAUAUUUAACUAUGUUUACAUUUAUAGUGAUAUUUACAUUCACAUGUAGAAAGAUGAUUGAAUAGCAAAAGGAUCCAUUUCCAGAACUUUAUAUUUAUUUAUUUAUUUUUUGAGAGGGAGUUUCGCUCUUGUCGCCCAUGCUGGAGUUCAAUGGCACGAUCUUGGCUCACUGCAACCUCUGUCCCCUGGGUUCAAGCGAUUCUCCUCCUUUAGCCUCCCGAGUAGCUGGGAUUACAGGGGUGCGCCAUUAUGCCUGGCUAAUUUUGUAUUAUUAGUAGAGAUGGGGUUUCACCAUGUUGGCCAGGCUGGUCUUGAACUCCUGACCUCAGGUGACCUGCCUGCCUCAGCCUCCCAAAGUGCUGGGAUUAUAGGCAUGGGCCACUGCGCCCAGCCCAUUUCCAGAACUUUAAAUGAAAUACCAAAUCAGGUAUCAUUCAAAUAUAAUCUCUUGGUAAAACUAGCCGUUGCUCUGUUGGUCCCAAAUGGCACACAGUAAGAAAAUAAACCUGUAUGGCAUUUGAAAGUCUGAUUUUCUAAUUUUGGAUAUAUUCCUUAUUACUUGUCAGUUACUUCAUUCUGCCACUAAGUUCUGGAAGAAAACUCAUGGAAUCUCAGAAUUUUAAUGGGAGAGGCCUUACUCUUGCAGUCUUAGGAGCCAGAUCCAGUCCCCAUAACUGUUGUGUUAGACUCAGGACAUUAAAAAUUGAAUGAACAUUGAGAAAUCUGGAGGUCUCACUAAAUAUGCGUUUCCCAGCACCUCAGACCCUACCCGCCUCCCACCCCCAAGGUCUCUUAGCAACCCUGCUUCCCAACUUACAGGUCAUCUGGGAUUUACCUUAGAAGUUCAAAAUGUUUAGGCAAACUAGAACUAUUUUGCAUUUGUUUAUUCACAAGAAGCAAAGUUGAAGUAGGUCCAGAGGUGGCCUGAAUCUUCUUUUUACUACUCACGGAAUUGCAAGUGAGGUUUUAGGAACGGCUGGAAACCCCAGCAGUGCUUUCUCAUAAAAAUGUAUUUCCUGUUAUGCUACCACAUUGGGCCCACCACUCAUUAACUGAGAACACUGGCUGACCCAAAGAAAAGAUUGAAUAGAAGCUGUUUUGAAAUAGAAUGGCAAAAUGGUAAUCCUCUUCUCAUUCAUCCCAUAGGGAUAACAAUGAGCUAGAUGAUGACACAAAUAAUAGCUAACAUCACUGUCUGUGUGGAAUUCUAGCCCUAGGGCUCAUUAAAUAAUAGAGACUUGGUAGGGUGGCCAGGUGAAAAAACAAAAAACCAAAAAACUGUUCUCUACUAGCCAGAUGAUUGGCACUAACAGCUAGUCUGAUUUCUCCAGGCUAAUUUUAUCAUGAACCUACCCCCCAAUUAUAAUAUUUGCACGACUGUAUGAAGCCCUCCCUUGCUAACCCCGAAAUGGUCCUGGUGCCACAUCUUCAUGUGCUCUCACAACUAAAUUUAAAUCUACUCAUGACAACAGAGCAAACAAGGAAAAGAGCCCAAACUGAUCAAAAGGCGGGAAAGUAAAAAAAUAUAUAUAUAAAUGAUACAUCUAAUUCUAGAAGCAGACUUUUCAAAGAAACCACUGGAACCACUGCUUACUCAGAACAAGAACAUAUGGUAUAAUUUAGAAGAUAAAUGUUUUUCCUAAUUGCAUAGAAAAAAACAGACACAAACAUGGAAUGCUCUGCUUACAUACAGAACUGACUAUAAACUGAGUUUGUGUUAAGUAUUACAGAUUUGUCCCUCUAUUUCUAAUCAAAUAUUGGAGAAAGCAGAAUGGUAUUCCUUGCACACUAUAUAUAAAUGUACACAAUUUUAGAAACCUCUAGUCAAAAUCAUGUCUUGGGAAAAAAUGUCUCUACAUACUGAGAGGCCUUCAUUAAAGUAUAAAAUCAAUCACAAGUUGCCUUGCUGUUGCUCUGAGAUGAAAGAAUGUACAAUAAUGAGCAAUGUCCCUGCUUAUAGAUAAGUAGACUAUUCCUUGGCAAUACGAUAGAGUUAGCCAGCUUGAAUUUCCAAAGUUCUAAACAGAGCCAAGAAAUUAAAAGCAAAACCCCUGGAUUCAGCCUCCUUCAACAUGAAUACCUGCUUCUCAAAAUGAUGGCUCUGCACUGUGGCCAAGUCACUUUCUCUAAGCUUAAGUUUACUCAUCUGAAAAAUGGGAAAAAAUACUGCAUUCCUCAGAGGGUGGUUGUAAGGAUCAAAUGAGUUAAUUUACAUCAAGGCCCUAGAAUAGUGCCUGGGACAGAGUAUUAUGUCUAUUUGCUAUUAUUGUUUAUGAGGUUUGGCAGUGUCCCCACCCAAAUCUCAUCUUGAAUUGUAGCUCCCAUAAUUCUCAUGUGCUGUGGGAGGGACCUGGUGGGAAAUAACUGAAUCAUGGGGGUGGUUUCCCCCAUACUGUUCUUGUGGUAGUGAAAUAAGUCUCACAAGAGCUGAUGGUUUUAUAAGGGGAAACCCCUUUUGCUUCGUUCUCAUUUUCUCGUCUGCUGCCAUGUAAAACAUGCCUUUUGCCUUCCACCAUGAUUGUGAGGCCUCCUCAGCCACGUGGAACUGUGAGUCCACUAAACCACUUUUUCUUUAUAAAUUACCCAGUCUUGGUUAUGUCUUUAUCAACAGUGUGAAAACAGACUAAUACAGUUAAUAUCAGUUGGUUUUCAGUUAUUUUAGAAAACUGAAUCUAAGUUUCCUGGGGGUGUUUUUAUUACUUUAAACCUACAGUGCCUUCACUCUGAAAUGCACCUCUUCCCCCACCUCCACCCUCAUCCCCAUCUUCUUCUGUAAUUUUUUUAUGAUCCUCAGAUUAUAGAGAAGAUCCUAAACUCAAAUGUACAUCUACACUAGAAAAUGACUGAUCUUACAUAGCAUACUCAUGGAACUUUCCUUGGGAAAAUUAGAGUUAGAACCAAAGCAACAUAUAUCCUUCCAUCCAACCCCCCAGAACCAAUAACUCAAUAUUAGAAAUGGAGUGACUAAAUUUAAGGAAGAGACCAUCCUCUGAUGAUGGUGCAGAGACAGAUCCAGGACCCACUCCACCACCACAAGAGUGUGAGAACAGAAAUAAGGAAAAAGCUUUUAAGUCAAGUAUGAAGACCCCACAUGUAUCCCACUAUUCUCCCUACUGCAGGUCUGUAUGUAGAAUUUACAAAGGAAGCAACAAAAAGACGCUACAAUUCUCACAAAAAAGACUUGACUUCAUCUACUACAGAGAACCUCAACUCUUGUCAUCUUACCCUCAAAGCAGAACUUAAAUACCCCAGGUAAUCAAAGGGGCAAUAAUUCACUUCUGCACCACUGAAGAUAACCCUUGACUUCCACACCACCAAUUAGGAUAAAUCUAUUUGGAUGAACAAAGGGCCAAGAGAGGAGGGAAGAACAAGGAGGACAGGGGAGGGGAAGCUGCCUUCUGCUGCUCUCUGCUGAAAGACCCCCUUUUAAAUAUGCCCAGUGAAAAGGAUUAAGAUAAACCUCCAAAAAAUACUGCCAUGAGGUAACUUGGAACUAAAUAUGAAGGGUAAUACUGACCAGCUUUGCAAACAUGAAGGAAGAAGCAUUAUUACUUCAAAAAGAUUUUGAGGUAAUAGGCCUAAAUAUACAAAUCCUCCGAAAUAUAUAAAAAUGAGACCUACUGGGCAGCUAAAACAGUACAACCCUACAAAGAACAAGACAUGAUUUUGGCCAUAAAACCUACUAGAAAACCCAAGGAUUUUGUAUAAUGUGAACUAAGCAUACAAAUAUAGAAAGAGAUUUUUAUUUCUUGCCACCACAUUUCUUAUUGAGAAGAAAAUAAUCGGUAUUGGCAAAAUGGUCCAUGAAGACUCCUAUGAAAGCACAGAAAGUGCUAGAUGAUGAUGAAAUUAGAAUAAAGUGGGACUUGGAAAUGUUUUAAAAAGGGGAACACAUUAACCGAAUUAUUUGGAAUGCUAGAAUGGAAGUGUCCUACAAAUAAUUCAAAGGUCAUUACAUCUGUCUUUAGAAUGUACCAAUCCUUUUUGCAAUAAAAUUAACAAUUAAUUCCAAUAUUAAGAUAGCUUUUCAUACCUUAAGAAGUACUAACCAAGAAGGGAGAUGUUUUAGAGGCAUGUUAAAUGCUAGAGAGAAGCCAGGGCCAGGUUUUAAGCCUUCAGGGUUCAAAUCACAUAUGACUAGUUGAAAUUUUAUAUUUUAUAUAUAUACAGACACACACGCACACACACACAUUCACAUUCACAUACAUAUAUACACACACAUCCGUCUCUUUCACAGCUUAUCAAUCCCAAGAGAAUAAGGGCUCCUAUCAAUUUCAGGGCCCAGGGAUCCCUCCCACUACAGCUAUCAGUUCAGUGGGAAUGGGCUAUUACUUACAUUCUUUGAUGAACAAAUAAGUCAGUGUCAGCGUAACCGUGUGACCGCUGAAGAGGAAGUCUCCACAUAAGAUAUGUGAUCCAGUUAUGGACAAUCCACCACCAGAAAUCAAUCGUAGAAUCCGUUGAACUUUUGCCUGAGAGUCUCCAUUGAGCUGAAUGACACAAGAAGAUUAAGAAGGGAAUUUACAAGUGGCUAAAAUCAUGUUUCAGUCUAAUUGUGUGACUCUUAGAAAGGACACCAGGUUGUGAUUUUUUUUUUCUUUUUAACCUAGAAAGUCAAAAAGAAUCCAAGGAGAAGCUCCUCAAACUGGGUUUUAUUCAUUUAUUGGCAAGCUUUAUUGACGUUUUAAAUUAUUCAAUAUGUUACUAAUAAUAUGUCUUGGUGGUGGUGUGUCCUUGGGCAAAGCUUUUAAAAAUAUUAAUAACCAAUGACUUCACCACAGCUACGUGCUAAAAAGCAGAUCAAAGCUACUUUCUUUUUGCAGGGGGAAGUGAGGGUUUUGAAUGGUUAAUAUUUGAUUCAGCUGCAUACCACAUUACCAAUAUUCUCUGCAGUGUAUUGGUAUCUUGUAUUAGGUGGGCAGCCUAAAGUGGACAGAUAUAUAGCUGCAUUAAUGUCUGAUCAAAACAUUUACAAUUAAGAAGAGGAGUUGCAACUCAUUAAAUAAUUUAAAUAGGUUUGAAAAUGAUGGAUUAGGGAUGUACUGGCAGCUUUAAAAAUGAGUAGCUUUGAUUAGGAAAAAC